rnacentral:tRNA from 1 species
GAGUUAGGUUAAAGAAACCGUUAGCCUUCAAAGCUGAUAUUGGGGUACACCCACUCAUUA